AGAGUUUGAUCCUGGCUCAGGAUGAACGCUGGCGGCGUGCUUAACACAUGCAAGUCGAACGAACCUUCGGGUUAGUGGCGGACGGGUGAGUAACGCGUGAGAAUCUGCCCUCAGGAGGGGGAUAACAGCUGGAAACGGCUGCUAAUACCCCAUAUGCCGCGAGGUGAAAUGAAUUUCGCCUGAGGAUGAGCUCGCGUCUGAUUAGCUAGUUGGUGUAGGUAAUGGCUCACCAAGGCAUCGAUCAGUAGCUGGUCUGAGAGGAUGAUCAGCCACACUGGGACUGAGACACGGCCCAGACUCCUACGGGAGGCAGCAGUGGGGAAUUUUCCGCAAUGGGCGAAAGCCUGACGGAGCAACGCCGCGUGAGGGAUGAAGGCCUCUGGGCUGUAAACCUCUUUUAUCAAGGAAGAAGAUCUGACGGUACUUGAUGAAUAAGCCACGGCUAAUUCCGUGCCAGCAGCCGCGGUAAUACGGGAGUGGCAAGCGUUAUCCGGAAUUAUUGGGCGUAAAGCGUCCGCAGGCGGCCCUUCAAGUCUGCUGUUAAAAAGUGGAGCUCAACUCCAUCAUGGCAGUGGAAACUGAGGGGCUUGAGUGUGGUAGGGGCAGAGGGAAUUCCCGGUGUAGCGGUGAAAUGCGUAGAUAUCGGGAAGAACACCAGUGGCGAAGGCGCUCUGCUGGGCCAUCACUGACGCUCAUGGACGAAAGCCAGGGGAGCGAAAGGGAUUAGAUACCCCUGUAGUCCUGGCCGUAAACGAUGAACACUAGGUGUCGGGGGAAUCGACCCCCUCGGUGUCGUAGCCAACGCGUUAAGUGUUCCGCCUGGGGAGUACGCACGCAAGUGUGAAACUCAAAGGAAUUGACGGGGGCCCGCACAAGCGGUGGAGUAUGUGGUUUAAUUCGAUGCAACGCGAAGAACCUUACCAGGGUUUGACAUCCUGCGAAUCUCUUGGAAACGAGAGAGUGCCUUCGGGAGCGCAGUGACAGGUGGUGCAUGGCUGUCGUCAGCUCGUGUCGUGAGAUGUUGGGUUAAGUCCCGCAACGAGCGCAACCCACGUCUUUAGUUGCCAGCAUUUAGUUGGGCACUCUAGAGAGACCGCCGGUGAUAAACCGGAGGAAGGUGUGGAUGACGUCAAGUCAUCAUGCCCCUUACAUCCUGGGCUACACACGUACUACAAUGCUACGGACAAAGGGCAGCAAGUUCGCGAGGACAAGCAAAUCCCAUAAACCGUGGCUCAGUUCAGAUCGUAGGCUGCAACUCGCCUACGUGAAGGAGGAAUCGCUAGUAAUCGCAGGUCAGCAUACUGCGGUGAAUACGUUCCCGGGCCUUGUACACACCGCCCGUCACACCAUGGAAGUUGGCCACGCCCGAAGCCGUUACUCCAACCCUUGUGGAGGAGGACGUCGAAGGUGGGGCUGAUGACUGGGGUGAAGUCGUAACAAGGUAUCCGUACCGGAAGGUGCGGAUG
rnacentral:rRNA from 1 species